UGGGAGUACAAACAUAAAGGUUAGGGACCCUCUUAUCCAGAGAGUAUACUUGCAUAAUACAUACACAUUGUCCAGGUCUAUAUGGGUAAUUGGGGACAAGACAGCUGGUGUUGAAUGUGUGUAUAUUUGUGACCUCUGUGUGCACUGUGUAUGAUGUACGUGUGCAGGAUUUUGAUUGGAGCUUGGCAUCCUAUACUAUGAAACACUAAAGAUGACCUCUGAGCUGGCUUAACUAGAGCACAACUCACCCUGUUCCUUUCUCUGACACUCACCCAGAUUGACUAGCAUGGCCAGUUGUCCUCUAGCUUGGAUUGGUCAAUACAUCUCAUGGGUUGCACAGUAUCUGGUUUGGUAAUAUCAAUAUUGCUUCAACUCUAAUUAGUUGAUUGUGCUGAGGUAACUGUUGCUACGACCAUGUAGCUCGUAUUGGACAGGCUGUCGCUAUGGGGUGACAGUGCUGGCUGUGUGCACUGUUCCCAAUAGUGGGCCCUGUCUCGCUCUCUCUCUGUGUGUGACAAUGCUAUGGCAUUGUUGAAGAUUUUUUUUAAAGAAUUGACAGACAACGAAGUCUUGUUCUCCUUGUUAUGCUGUUGUUCCUCCUCCCUUGGUGCAGGUCUAUUUCAACUACAGGGUUGUCAACUCUCCUGUUGUUCCUCCUCCCUUGGUGCAGGUCUAUUUCAACUACAGGGUUGUCAACUCUCCUGUUGUUCCUCCUCCCUUGGGGCUGGUCUAUUUCAACUACAGGGUUGUCAACUCUCCUGUUGUUCCUCCUCCCUUGGUGCAGGUCUAUUUCAACUACAGGGUUGUCAACUCUCCUGUUGUUCCUCCUCCCUUGGUGCAGGUCUAUUUCAACUACAGGGUUGUCAACUCUCCUGUUGUUCCUCCUCCCUUGGUGCAGGUCUAUUUCAACUACAGGGUUGUCAACUCUCCUGUUGUUCCUCCUCCCUUGGUGCUGGUCUAUUUCAACUACAGGGUUGUCAACUCUCCUGUUGUUCCUCCUCCCUUGGUGCUGGUCUAUUUCAACUACAGGGUUGUCAACUCUCCUGUUGUUCCUCCUCCCUUGGUGCUGGUCUAUUUCAACUACAGGGUUGUCAACUCUCCAGCUAGCACUUUUUUUUAAUGACAUUAAACCAACUUUUAAGCUCAAAAGCAUUUGUUUAGGUCUUUAAAGUGUGUGAGCCAAUCCCAGUCUUGCUAUGAAGGAUCGGAAGUUUCUGGGCAACAUUUAUUGUUAUAUAAUGUAUCUGGGCAACAGUUACCAUUGUAUUGAAGCAGACUGGGGCGGCGUCAAAUCCUAAUGUUUGUAAACUAUUGGUCAACUUCAAACUACUAACUAUAUCGCCAUGCUACAUACAACACACAACUAAAUCUCACACAGUCAACAAAAACAUCAACACUACACACAAGCACCUGCCUCAAAUAAUUCCCUUCAUCUACCUCUAGAAGUGUAAAUAAAAAGGUAAGAUCAAAGUUCGACAUUUAAAACAGCAGACCGACACACAGAUUUAAAAGGUCAUGAGGUGACUAGGUAACAGGAUAGAGGUCACACCAGCAAACACAACUACUGGUCACGAGACUGAAUCCUAACUUGAGAUCCAAGUAAACAAACGUUCAAGCAAUCUUGCACUGAAGUCAAUGGCAGAUUUUUGAGAAAACUCAAGUUACGCACAGAUCUUGAGUUAGGAUUUGCCCUCUAAUGCCCUUAACCACAUAUCUAGGAUCAGCUACCCCUACUAUAGCCCUCGUCUGAACUAUGUAAUACUUCACACAAAAACUGACUUGGGACCAGUGGUUAAGAGCAUGAAGUGACCACACACACGGGAAGUCAGAGGCAGGGAUUGGCUGGUAAGCCUGAGGGGGUGGCCAUCCAUAAGC